AUUGAACGCUGGCGGCAUGCCUUACACAUGCAAGUCGAACGGUAACAGGUCUUCGGAUGCUGACGAGUGGCGAACGGGUGAGUAAUAUAUCGGAACGUGCCCAGUAGUGGGGAUAGCCCGGCGAAAGCCGGAUUAAUACCGCAUACGACCUACGGGUGAAAGGGGGGGAUCGCAAGACCUCUCGCUAUUGGAGCGGCCGAUAUCAGAUUAGGUAGUUGGUGGGGUAAAGGCCUACCAAGCCUACGAUCUGUAGUUGGUCUGAGAGGACGACCGGCCACACUGGGACUGAGACACGGCCCAGACUCCUACGGGAGGCAGCAGUGGGGAAUUUUGGACAAUGGGCGCAAGCCUGAUCCAGCAAUGCCGCGUGCAGGAAGAAGGCCUUCGGGUUGUAAACUGCUUUUGUCAGGGAAGAAAUCCUCUGGGCUAAUAUCCUGGGGGGAUGACGGUACCUGAAGAAUAAGCACCGGCUAACUACGUGCCAGCCGCCGCCGUAAAAC
rnacentral:rRNA from 1 species